rnacentral:rRNA from 1 species
GUAGGGAAUAUUGGACAAUGGGGGGAACCCUGAUCCAGCCAUGCCGCGUGGAGGAAGACUGCCCUCUGGGUUGUAAACUCCUUUUAUAUGGGAAGAACCGUCCUCAUUAAUGAGUGACCUGACGGUACCAUAGGAAUAAGCACCGGCUAACUCCGUGCCAGCAGCCGCGGUAAUACGGAGGGUGCAAGCGUUAUCCGGAUUCACUGGGUUUAAAGGGUGCGUAGGCGGAUAAAUAAGUCAGUGGUGAAAUCAACGGGCUCAACCUGUUAACUGCCAUUGAUACUGUGUAUCUUGAAUAUGAGAGAGGUAGGCGGAAUGUUGCAUGUAGCGGUGAAAUGCUUAGAUAUGCUACGGAACACCGAUUGCGAAGGCAGCUUACUAUUUCGUAAUUGACGCUGAGGCACGAGAGCGUGGGUAGCGAACAGGAUUAGAAACCCGAGUAGUCC